GAGGGUAUAGCUCAAGUGGUAGAGCACAUGCUUAGCCUUCAUGAGGUCCUGGGUUCAAUCCCCAGUACCUCCU
rnacentral:tRNA from 1 species